rnacentral:rRNA from 1 species
AAUGUAUAGCAAUAGCUACUUGCAUCAUUGUAAAUAUGAUGCAAGAUCGACUAUGUCGAAUAAAAUUCUAGGUAGAAUUAUGAUAAUGACAUUGUCUGCCUAUGUGUCUUGACCAAAUUACGUGCCAGCAGUCGCGGUAAUACGUAGAAGACUAGUGUUAUUCAUGUUUAAUCGGUUUAAAGGGUACCUAGACGGUAAAUCAAGCCUAAAAGGAAAUAAAUGAAGGGACUAAUUUACUAGAGUUACUUAUGAGGGGGUAUUAAAGUACUGCUGGUGUAGAGAUGAAAUUCUGUCAUACCUCUUUUCAAUAGAAAAAUAAUGGCACAGGUAUAGGCAAAAGCAUCCCCUUAUGUGAUAACUGACGUUGAGGGACGAAGGCUUUGUGUAGCGAACAGGAUUAGAUACCCCAGUAGUCAAAGCAGAAAAUGAUGAAUGUCAUAGAUUAGAUAUAUAAGUUUAUUCUAUAAAUGAAAGUGUAAGCAUUCCACCUCAAGAGUAAUUUGGCAACAUUGGAACUGAAAUCAUUAGACCGUUUCUGAAACCAGUAGUGAAGUAUGUUGUUUAAUUUGAUGAUCCGCAAAAAACCUUACCACAAUUUGAAUAUUUAUAUCUUUUAUUGUUUUUCUUUUUAACUUUUUCUAAUUUUCUACUUAAAAGAAAAAAAUAACAAGAAAAAAGAGACAAUAAGAUAUAUUUACAAGCGUUGCACGGCUGUCUUCAGUUAAUGUCGCGAGACUAUGGUUAGUUCCAUUAAAUUAACGUAAACCCUUACUUUAUUUUUAUAUAGAGUAGUUCCCCGCUAUAUUGGAUAUGAUAACAGG